AUUGAACGCUGGCGGCAUGCCUUACACAUGCAAGUCGAACGGCAGCACGGGUGCUUGCACCUGGUGGCGAGUGGCGAACGGGUGAGUAAUACAUCGGAACAUGUCCUGUAGUGGGGGAUAGCCCGGCGAAAGCCGGAUUAAUACCGCAUACGAUCUACGGAUGAAAGCGGGGGACCUUCGGGCCUCGCGCUAUAGGGUUGGCCGAUGGCUGAUUAGCUAGUUGGUGGGGUAAAGGCCUACCAAGGCGACGAUCAGUAGCUGGUCUGAGAGGACGACCAGCCACACUGGGACUGAGACACGGCCCAGACUCCUACGGGAGGCAGCAGUGGGGAAUUUUGGACAAUGGGCGAAAGCCUGAUCCAGCAAUGCCGCGUGUGUGAAGAAGGCCUUCGGGUUGUAAAGCACUUUUGUCCGGAAAGAAAUCCUUGGCCCUAAUACGGUCUGGGGAUGACGGUACCGGAAGAAUAAGCACCGGCUAACUACGUG
rnacentral:rRNA from 1 species